rnacentral:rRNA from 1 species
GAUGAACGCUGGCGGCGUGCUUAACACAUGCAAGUCGAACGAAGCAUGACGGACCUAGUUUUUCGGAACGAAGAAAAUCAUGACUUAGUGGCGGACGGGUGAGUAACGCGUGGGUAACCUGCCUUAUACAGGGGGAUAACAGUUAGAAAUGACUGCUAAUACCGCAUAAGCACACAGUAUCGCAUGAUACGGUGUGAAAAACCCUGGUGGUAUAAGAUGGGCCCGCGUCUGAUUAGCUAGUUGGUAGGGUAAUGGCCUACCAAGGCGACGAUCAGUAGCCGGCUUGAGAGAGUGGACGGCCACAUUGGGACUGAGACACGGCCCAAACUCCUACGGGUGGCUG